rnacentral:ncRNA from 1 species
CCGUCCAUGGUUCCCUCACGGGAUGAAUAUGGGAAUGCCGUGUGAAUCGGCAGCUGCCCCGCAACUGUGAGCGACGUCGAGUCCGCACCGUAACCACUGGAGUGAUCCGGGAAGGGGUGCGGGCGGUUCUUCCCCCGGGAAGAACGCGCCGCGAGUCAGGAGACCUGCCAUGGACC